rnacentral:sRNA from 1 species
AUGCUUUUAAAGACUUUAUGAUCCAUUUGCCGUGGGUCCCCAC